AUACGUAGGUGACAAGCGUUAUCCGGAUUUACUGGGCGUAAAGGGCGUGUAGGCGGUCUUGCAAGUCAGAAGUGAAAUUCCUGAGCUCAACUCGGGCGCUGCCUCUGAAACUGCAGGACUUGAGUGCUGGAGGGGAUAGCGGAAUUCCUAGUGGAGCGGUAAAAUGCGCAGAUAUUAGGAAGAACACCGGUGGCGAAGGCGGCUAUCUGGAAAGUAACUGACGCUGAGGCGCGAAAGCGUGGGGAGCAAACAGGAUUAGAUCCCCUGGAAGUCCACGCCGUAAACGAUGAAUACUAGGUGUAGGGGGUAUCGACUCCCUCUGUGCCGCAGUUAACACAAUAAGUAUUCCGCCUGGGGAGUACGGCCGCAAGGUUGAAACUCAAAUGAAUUGACGGGG
rnacentral:rRNA from 1 species